rnacentral:rRNA from 1 species
AUUGAACGCUGGCGGCAGGCCUAACACAUGCAAGUCGAGCGAGCGGCGGACGGGUGAGUACUGUCUGGGAAUCUGCCUGAUGGAGGGGGAUAACUACUGGAAACGGUAGCUAAUACCGCAUACCAUCGGAUGUCCCCAUAUGGGCGUAGCUUGUAGGUGGGGUAAUGGCUCACCUAGGCGACGAUCCCUAGCUGGUCUGAGAGGAUGACCAGCCACACUGGAACUGAGACACGGCCCAUACUCCUACGGUAGGCAGCAGUGGGGAAUAUUGCACAAUGGGCGCAAGCCGUAUGCAGCCAUGCCGCGUGUAUGAAGAAGGCCUUCGGGUUGUAAAGUACUUUCAGUCGGGAGGCGUUACUCACAGAAGAAGCACCGGCUAACUCCGUGCCAGCAGCCGCGGUAAUUC